GGCGGAUGUACCCAAGGG
rnacentral:tRNA from 4 species